AUGUUGGAAGUGUUUUCUUUUAUUUACGCUCCCUCCCCCUAACAGAUUAAACAAGUCCAUGUUGUAUACAAAUGAUAUUUUACCAAGGCAUAUUUAUGUUGGAAGUGUUUUUUUUUCUUUACGCUCCCUCUCCCUAACAGAUUAAACAAGUCCAUGUUGUAUACAAAUGAUAUUUUACCAAGGCAUAUUUAGUUGGAAUGUUUUCUUUUAUUUACGCCUCCUCUCCCUAACAGAUUAAAAAGUCCAUGUUUAUACAAAUGAUAUGCUGUUACCAAGGCAUGUUUUAUGUUGGAAGUGUUUUCUUUUAUUUACGACCCCUCUCACCUAACGAGAUUAAACAAGUUCAUGUUGUAUACAAAUGAAUUUGACAAGCCAAUUUAUUUGGAAGUGUUUUCUUUAUUUACGCUCCCUCUCACCUAACAGAUUAAAACAAGCCAUGUUGUAACCAAAUGAUAUUUUACCAAGGCAUAUUUAUGUUGGAAGUGUUUUUCUUUUGAUUGUACGCCCUCUCCCUAACAGAUUUAAAACCCAAGUCCAUGUUUGUAUACAAAUGAUAUUUUACCAAGGCAUAUGUAUGUUGGAAGUGCUUUUCUUUAAUUUUCCCCGCUUCCCUAACAGAUUAAACAAGUCAUGUUGUAUACAAUAUUUUUACCAAGGCAUAUUUAUGUUUGAAGUGUUUCUUUUUUUACGCCCCCUCUCCCUACAGAUAAAAAACACGUCCAUGUUGUAUACAAGGAUAUUUUACCAAGGCAUAUUUAUGUUGGAAGUGUUUCUUUUAUUUUCCCGCUCUCCCUAACAGAUUAAACAAGUCCCAGUGUUGUAUACAAAUGAUAUUUUACCAGGCAUAUUUAUGUGGAAGUGUUUUCUUUUAUUUACGCCCUUUCCCUAACAGAUUAAACAAGUCCAUGUUGUAUACAAAUUGAUAUUUUUACAAGGCAUAUUAUGUUGGAAGUGUUUUCUUUUAUCUACGCCUCCUCUCCCUUUACAGAUUAAACAUCCCAUGUUUUAUACAAAUGAUAUUUUACCAAGGCAUAUUAUGUUGGGAAGUGUUUUCUUUUAAUUUAGCCCCUCUCCCUAAACAGAUUAAAAAAGUCCAUGCUGUAUACAAUGAUAUUUACCCAAGGCAUUAUUUAUGUUGGGAAGUGUUUUCUUUUAUUUUCCCCGCUCUCCCCUAACAGAUUAAACAAGUGUCGAUGCUGUAUACAAAUAUAUUUUACCAAGCAUAUUUAUAGUUGGAAAGUGUUUCUUUUAUUUUACGCUCCCUCUCCCUAAUAGAUUCUAAACAACGGCCAUGUUGCAUACAAAUGAUAUUUUACCAAGGCAAUAUUUAUGUUGGAAGUGGUUUUCUUUUAUCACGCUCCCUCUCCCUUACAGAUUAAACCAGUGCCAUUGUUGUAUACAAAUGAUAUUUACCAAGGCAUAUUUAUGUGGAAGUUUUUUUUCUUUUAUGACCUCCCUCUUCCCUAACAGAUUAAACAAGUCAUGUUGUAUACAAAAUGAUAUCUUACCAAGGCAUGUUUUAUGUCGGAAGUGUUUCUUUUUAUUUACCGACCCUCUCCCUACAGAUUAAACAAGUCCAUGUUGUAUACAAAUGAAUUUUACAAGGCUAUUAUGUUGAAGUGUUUUCUUUUAUUUACGCGUCUUCUCCCUAACAGAUUAAACAAGGUCCCAGUUGUAUACAAAUGAUAUUUUACCAAGCAUAGUUUAUGUUGGAAGUGGUUGUUCUUUUAUUUACGCCCCUCUCCCUAAAGAUAAAACAAGUCCAUGUUGUAUACAAAUAUAUUUUUACCAAAGCAUAUUUAUGUUGAAUGUUUUCCUUUAAUUUUUCCCCGCUCUCCCUAACAGAUUCAAACAAUCCAUGUUGUAUACAAAUGAGUAUUUUACCAAGGCAUAUUUAUGUUGAAAGGUUUUCUUUUAUUUACGCCCCCUCUCCCUAACAGAUAAAACACGUCCAUGUUGCUAUACAAAUGAUAUUUUACCAAGCAUAUUUAUGUUGGAAGUGUUUUCUUUUAGUUUCCCCGUUCUCCCCCCCAUAACAGGAUUAAACAAGUCCAAUGUUGUAUACAAAUGAUGAUGUUUACCAAGGCAUAUUUAUGUUGGGAAGUGUUUUCUUUUAUUUACGCUCCCUUUCCCUAACAGAUUAACAAGUCCAUGUUGGUUAUACAAAUGAUAUUUUACCAAGGCAUAUUUAUGUGGAAGUGUUUUCUUUUUAUUUACGCUCCCUUUCCCUAACAGAUUAAACAAUCCAUUGUUGUAUACAAAUGAUAUUUUACCAAGCAUAUUUAUGUUGGAAGUGUUUUCUUUUAUCUACGCUCCCUCUCCCUUACAGAAUUAAACAAGUCCAUGUUUAUACAAAAUAAUAUUUUACCAAGAUAUUUUAUGUUGAAGUGUUUUCUUUUAUUUACGCCCCUCUCCCUAACAAUUAAAACAAGUCCAUGGUUAUCAAAUGAUAUUGUACCAAGGCAUAUUUAGUUGAAGUGUUUUCUUUUAUUUUCACCAAACGCCAUCUACCUAAACAGAAAUUAAACAAGGAUCCAUGUUGUAUACAAAUGGUAUUACAAAGGCAUAUUGAUGUUGGAAGUUUUCUUUUAGUUAGCCCCCCUCUCACCUAACAGAUUAACAAGAUCCCAUGGAUGUAAUACAAAUGAAUAUAUAUUACCAAGGCUAUUUAUUGUUGGAGUGUUUCUUUAUAUUUACAGCCACCCCUCUCCCUAACAGAUUAAAACAAGUCCAUGUUGUAUACAAAUGAUAUGUUACCAAGACAGUAUUUAUGUUGGAAGUGUUUAUCUAUUUAUGUUACGCUCCCAUCUCAUAACAGAAUUAAACAAGGUCCAUGUUGUAUACAAAUGAUAUUUACCAAGGCAAUUUAUGUGGAAAAGUUUGUCUUUAUAUUUACCCCCUUUCACCUAACAGAUUAAACAAGCAUCCAUGGUAGAUAUACAAAAUGAUAUUUUACCAAUGACACAUAUGUGGAAGUGUUUUCUUUGUUCACCCCUCUCCCUAACAGAUUAAACAUGUCCAUGUUGUAUACAAAUAUCAUUUUACCAAGACAUAUAUAUGUGAGAGUGUUUGCGUUUUAUUUACGCCCCCUCUCCCUUACAGAUUAAAACAAGUCCAUGUUGUAUACAAUGGUAUUUUACCAAGGCAUAUUUAUGUUGAAGUGUUUUCUUUAUUUACGCCCCCUCUCCCCAACAGAUAAAACAAGUCCAUGUUGUAUACAAAUGAUAUUUUACCAAGGCAGAUUUAUGUUGGAAGUGUUUUCUUUUAUUUACGCUCCCUCCCCCUAACAGAUUAAACAAGUCCAUGUUGUAUACAAAUGAUAUUUUACCAAGGCAUAUUUAUGUUGGAAGUGUUUUUUUUUCUUUACGCUCCCUCUCCCUAACAGAUUAAACAAGUCCAUGUUGUAUACAAAUGAUAUUUUACCAAGGCAUAUUUGAUGUUGGAAGUGUUUUCUUUUAUUUACGCCCCAUCUCCUACAGAUAAACAAGUCCAUGUUGUAUACAAAUGAUAUUUACCAAGCAUAUUUAUGUUUGGAAGUGUUUUCUUUUAUUUACGCUCCCUUUCGCCUAACAGAUUAAAACAAGUCCAUGGUUGUAUACAAAUGAUAUUUACCAAGCAUAUUUAUGUUGGAAGUGUUUUUUCUUUUAUCUACGCUCCCUUCGUCCCUUACAUAUUAACAAGUCCGAUGUUUGUAUACAAAUGGAUAUUUUACCAAGGCUAUUUAUGUGGAAGUGGGUUUCUUUUAUUUACGCCCCUCUCCCUAACAGAUUAAACAAUCCAUGCUGUAUACAAAUGAUAUUUUACAAGGCAUAUUUAUGUUGGAAGUGUUUUCUUUUAUUUCCCUUCUCCCUAACAAUUAAUCAAGUCCAUGGUUUACAAAUGAUAUUUUACCAAGAUUAUUAUGUGAAGUGUUUUCUUUAGUUACGCCCCCUCUAACCUAACAGAUUGAACAACGUCCAUGGGUAUACAAUAUAUUUACCAAGGCAGAUUUAUGUUGGAAGUGUUUUCUUUUAUUUACGCUCCCUCCCCCUAACAGAUUAAACAAGUCCAUGUUGUAUACAAAUGAUAUUUUACCAAGGCAUAUUUAUGUUGGAAGUGUUUUUUUUUCUUUACGCUCCCUCUCCCUAACAGAUUAAACAAGUCCAUGUUGUAUACAAAUGAUAUUUUACCAAGCAUUAUUAAUUUAUGUUGGAAAGUGUUUUUAUUUACGCCCCCUUUCCCUAACAAGAUUAAACAAGUCCAUGGUGUAUACAAAUGAUAUUUUACCAAUGCAUACAUAUGUUGAAGUGUUUUCUUUUAGUACGCCCCCCUCUCCCUAACGAUAAACAUGUCCAUGUUGUAUACAAAUGAUAUUUUACCAAGACAUAUUUAUGUUGGAAGUUUUUCUUUUAUUCACGCUUCCCUCUCCUAAACAGAUUAAACAAGUUCGCAUGUUGUAUUACAAAUAUAUUUUACCAAGGCAUAUUAUAUGUGGAAGUGUUUCCUUUUAUUUACGCCCCCUCUUCCCUGAACAGAUAAAACAAGUCAUGUUGUAUUACAAAUGAUUAUUUACCAAGCAUAUUUAGUUGGAAAGUUUUUCUUUUAUUUUCCCCGCUCUCCCCUAACCAGAUUAAACAAGUCCAGUUGUAUACAAAUGAUAUUUUUACCAAGGCAUAUUUAUGUUGGAAGUGUUUGUCUUUUAUCUACGCUCCCUCUCCCUUACAGAUUAAACAAGUUUCAUGUUGUAUACAAUAUAUUUUACCAAGGCAUAUUUAUGUUGGAAGUUUUUCUUAUUAAUUACGCCCCUCUUCCUACAGAUUAAACAAGUCCAUGUGUAUACAGAAUGAUAAUUUUUACAACUUGAAGCAUAUUUAUGUUGGAAGUGUUUUCUUUUAUUUCCCCGCUCUCCCUUAACAGAUUAACAAGUCCAUGCUGUAUACAAAUGAUAUUUACCAAGGCAUAUUUAUGUUGGAAGUGUUUUCUUUUAUUUACGCCCCUGCUC
rnacentral:lncRNA from 1 species